CAGCAGCCGCGGGAAUACGGAUGGUGCAAGCGUUAAUCGGAAUUACUGGGCGUAAAGCGCACGCAGGCGGUUUGUUAAGUCAGAUGUGAAAUCCCCGAGCUUAACUUGGGAACUGCAUUUGAAACUGGCAAGCUAGAGUCUUGUAGAGGGGGGUAGAAUUCCAGGUGUAGCGGUGAAAUGCGUAGAGAUCGGGAGGAACAUCAGUGGCGAAGGCGGCCAUCUGGGACAACACUGACGCUGAGGCACGAAAGCGUGGGGAGCAAACAGGAUUAGAUACCCCUGUAGUCCCUGUCUCUUAUAC
rnacentral:rRNA from 1 species